UUUCUGAGGAGGAGAUGCUUUUUGUUUUGUACUAAAACUAGUCUGAUGAAGCCCAGUUGCUUCUGAAUCCCACUGAACACACCAGCAGGAGCUUAAUAUAUGUGUGUGGGCAGAAUGGAUGAAUGAAUGCAUGGGUGGGUGGGUGGAUCUUCCUCUCAUCUCGGCUUCCCUUAGUGUCUGAGAGAGCAGAGAAAGAGAGAGAGAGGAAAAAAAAAAACAACUCAAUGAAAAGACCAGGUCGAAGCAAGCAAAAACAUCACACUUUUGGCAGAAGUAACUACUCCUGAUUCAAAUAGCCAGAGGACAGAGCUGCUUCACUGAGUCUCAGUGUUUUAUAUUCCAGUUGACAUCACUACACACAAAGUUCUGUCCUGGGAAGUUGAUGGAAUACCAUGGAGGCCUUACCUACAUGUUCUCUUUAUCUGUAGGGGGCCAGGAUGUAGGACCCUGGGUAAGGACCGAGCCCAGACAUUUGUUCCUGGCUCCCUCACAUGCUGACUGCAUUGCCAACCUUCAGAGCCACUGUCAGGGGAAUCUGACUGUACAGUCACCUCCUAUCCAUGAAUUGUGGCUAUGUUAAGCUUGAAAGAAUAGCCUAACCCUCCCUUAUGUGUUAGAACUAUUCGACCAUCUGAUAUAAAGAACAGAUAGGAGUUUGCAAUUUUUGUGGGCACAUUAAGGAAACAGGACUCAUUUUUUCCCAAUGUCUACUGAAGUCUUUCUUCAGCUUCAUCCAGUCUUCCUAUUUUAUAUAUACCUUUUGGUUUUUUGAGAGUUAGGGAACUUUGAAUUUAAAAAAAAAAAGGAACAGGGGCGCCCUAGUGGCUCAGUCAGUUAAACAUCUGCCUUCAGCUCAGGUCAUGAUUUCAGGGUCCUGGGAUUGAGUCUCACAUCAGGCUCCCUGCUCAGCAGGAAACCUGCUUCUCCCUCUCCCUCUGCCCCUAAACCUGCUUAUGCACUCUCUCUCUUAAAUAAAUAAAUAAAUAAAUAAAUAAAUAAAUAAAUAAAUAAAAUCUUAAAAAAAAGAAUAUAUAUAUAUUCAAAUUAUGGUCCUGCCAUUAGGGGUGAGAUUGUGGAGAAAGAACCUCAGUCCUCUGACACCACUUGGUCAUCCAUAAAUUGGAAAUAAUAAUGCUGAUGCAUCGGAGUUUAAGGGAGGAGCCUAUCACUUCAUGUAGUUACUGCCAAACCUAAAUGUUUAUGCAUGAGUUUUCCACUGCUGCAUAACACACGACCACAUAUUUACCAGCUUAAAACAACACCCAUUUAUUCUCUCAUAUUUCUACAGGUGAGAAGUCAGCAGGCUUGGCUGGGUUCUCUACUUAGGGUCUCACAAGGCCAAUGUCAGGGUGUCAAGGGCCAGAUGGGUUCCAAUGUUGAGGCUCUGGAAGAAUCAGCCUCCAGGAGUAUUCAGGACGUUGGCAGAGUUUAGUUCCACGUGGUUGUGGGACCAAGGUCCCUGUUUCCUCGCUGGCUGUCAGCGGGGCACUGGUCCUGGUCCCUAACCCUACCUGCACGCCUUCUCAUAUGAUCCCCUCCACCUUCUGCUAAGCAACAUGGUGUGCUGACUACUUCCAUUUGAAAUCUCUUCAACAUCUUUUGCCACAAGCCAGAGAAAACUCUGUUUUUAAAGAGCUUGUGUAGUUAGAUGAGACUCACCACAUAAUCUACCUUUUGCCAUAUAACGUGGCAUAACCAUGAGAGUCCCAGCCUGCCAUAUGCCUGGAUUCCACCCACACUCAGAGGGAAGGAAAUGCCGUAAGGAGCAGGAUCGCUGGAAGUCAUUCGUAGAUUUCUGAAUAUGAUAGUGCAUCAGAAUCACCAUGGAGCUUUUCGAAAAUACUGAUUUGUUUCUGCCAGAGGCCCUCUGGGUCAGAGUCUCUAGAAAUGGGUCCCAAGAAUUUGUAUAUUUUAAAACUUUCUAUAACCAGCCUAUGAAUAAAUUGUGAAAGCCACAGAGCUAAUGUAUCCAAAGAGCCUUGUACAGAGCCUGAUACAUAACUUGAACACAAAAGGUGUUAUUUUCCAUCCGUCUUUUCUCUAAUGUCUUGCUACUCAAAGUGUGGUCCACGGGCUAGCAGUAUUUUCACCCCUUAGGAGCAUCUCAGAAAUAGAGAAUCUCAGGUACCAUCCCAUAGACUCAGAAUCCAUGUUAUAUGGGGAUCUCCAGGUCAUUUGUAACACUGCCUUAGGAAGCUCUCCUAGGAUGAACCCAUAUCAUCAACCCUAAAAUUCUAUUCAAACUUCCAAAUGGAUACGUAUAUAGAAAUGUUUCAAUUCUGCUAGAAUCAAUUCAACCAAAUCCCUGACCAUUUUUCCACAUUUAUUGUAUAUCGAACACAGUGCUAGAUGGUAUAUGAAGAAAAAUUAUAAGUCACAAUCUGAAUUUAUUAAUGCUUACAUUGUUUUUGGAUGCAUGAACUACAGAGCAAUUCAAGGCAGCAAAUUUGAUAGAAUGUUCUGAGAACUACAAGAGCAUUUUAUUCCAGAGAAGGCAGGGAGAAGACCUCAAGCUGGUUCUCGAAAGAUAUUGGUAGACAGUCUUUAAAAUCUAGUUCAAAUGUUACUUCAUUCAUUCAUUCAUUCAUUCAUUCAUUCAACAAAUAUUUGUUGAGCUCCCACAAUGUACUGGGCACUGGUAAUAGAUGCUGUUCCUGAACUCCCAGGGCUGAGAGUCCCUGGCUCUCUGCCUUGGUCUCAUGCCCUUGUUGUAGCAGUCAGCACACUACACUGUGUUCUCACUCAGUGUGUCAGGUUCCUGUGAAAGAUUUUGCAUUUCUCAGAGACCAAGUUAAAUUUUUCUUGGUGUCUGCUUCAGUAUGACAAUGUUUGGCAUACAAUAAGACCUCAGUGAACAAGUGAAUAAAUGAAGAGAAAAUGCAAAGAAGAUAAAAGGCAUUGCAUGGGGAAUGUGCCUGGAUAGAGGUGUAGAGGAAAGAAUGACCAUAGCAUCUUUGAGAGAAAAUUCCAUCUUUCUAGCCGGGCCUGAUAGAAGGGUUCAUUCUGGAACAGUUGAUGGAGUGAGCGUAUGGAAAAAAUUGGAAUUUUAGGAUGGAAAAUACGCCUUUCAGUUAAAUUUACCAGAUAUGGAUUAAGCUAAUGAGCAACAGGGAGCUAGUAUAGGGUUUUAAAGGAAAUAGCAAAGGUUUGUCAUAGCGUGUGGUUAUCUGUGGCAGGUUAUAAAGGUUAAUUUUACAGAUCUGAUGGCUCUGAACAGAAAGGAUUAAUAUGGCAGAGAUGGAGGCAGAGAGCAAUGCACGGGGGUGUGCACCCACACGUGUGCACUUCAUGUGUGUAUUUGGGGGUUGUAAGGAGAGAGGUAUCAUAGCUAUCCAAGAAAAAGUCAUGAACAGAUGCUCAACAUGGAAAAAUUCCCAUUUUGAACAAGCCAGAACAUUUAAAAAUAGAUUGAUAGGCCAACUGUGUCCCAACAGAGCUCUGAGAAAACGUCCUUGGAAUGCUGAUUUAUGGUUCACCCACUCACGCAUUCAUUCUUGUAUUUACUCAACAAAUAUGAACUCAGUGCCGGGCACUGUGCUAAGGUCUGGGAUUGCAGAGAUGAAUAAAAUAGGUCUCCCAUUCCUGCAGAGGAGGAAAAAAACCCUACAAAUUAAACUUACUCACUCUGUUGGAGGAUUAAUCGUGUUAGUGAUAAGAUGAAAUUGCUUGAAAUUGAAGAUGAAAAACUCCUUCUGCAAGUUCUUUAAGCUUUCAUUGAAAGUCGGAUAUUUUCUGGCUCAGCAAUGUGGUAAAAUGGAAGGCAGAUAGAUGAACCCGGGGCUGAAUCCAUUGCUUUCUACUUACGUGAGUUUAUGUCUGUUUCCUCAUUUGCAAAUGAUCAUGAUUCCGGGAUUAUAGGAUUCGCUUGAAAUUUAAGGAAAUGAUCAAUAUAUGUAAAGUGCUUAUAAGUGCACUGCACACCUCUGGGUUGAGAAGCUGAACCUAGAAACUAGCAACAAUAAUGUAGUAAUGCCCAGGCUAUGCUGCUGGCUGGUUUCCAGUCACCUCUGACUCUGACCGGUAGGAGGCUGGGGGACAAGACAAAGCAGUUGUGAUACAUCUUCCCAUUUCCUCCCUCCCGUCUCCUCCCCACCUCCUCCAUCACUCUGGCCCUGAGAGAAGCCACAUCCCUCUGAGAUGCUAGGACCACUAACAGCCCCAGCUCCAUUCUGGAGCGUAGUCUGGUCUCCUGCCCCUGCUUCUUGAGUGCAGUGGGAAUGCUUACCCCUGCCUGGGGGCUCCAAUAUCCUUUUUUGGUUUCCUUAACUCUGCCUGGAUCUCUGGAUGUAGCCCUUUGUUAGCUUCACCAUUUGAACCAUGUUGGUUGAAUUAUAAUUCCUAUCAGUACGUUGACUGGUACAAAGACAUUAAAUUUUAUCAGUGAGGCCAAAACCUUUCAAAGUGUCUUCUAUGAGUUAUUCUGCAAAAACGAGAUUUCUAUGGUCAAGUAAGUUUAGGAAAGCUGUAUAUUUGAUUUCCCUCCUUGAGAGUCACAAUAUAUAUUAACAUAUUAAAGGUUCAGAGAAGCCUGAAAUGAAGAAAUGUGUUUAAUUUUAUUUAACAGCAUUUUCUAUACUCAUUUGACCAUGAAACUAUUAUUUCAUGUAACACCUAUUAACAUCCCACACUUGAGGAAAUGCUGAACUAGGCUAAACUAAUAAGAUAAUUUGUCACAUUUAUAGCAGUUUGAGGGUGAAAGAACAUUGGACUUGGAAUCAAGAUUUGCUACUUCUUGUCCUGAAUCUGCUACUAACUCACAGGAGACCUUGGGCAGACACCUUACUCUAGUGGAAUUCAGUCUCCAUGCAGAAGCUGGAGAAAUCUGUUUUUCCUCUUACAAAUCUGACUCCACUGAACACUCAUAGUAUUUUCAUCAACAUGAGCAAUCUUGGCAGUUUGGGUAGAAGUAUUCAGGAAUGUUUUGCUUUGUUUCUUUUGCAACUGCAGCUUUUCACCCCCAGAAUUUUACUUCUUCACAGUUUUUAUUUCAGCCGAGACUCCAGAAUUUCAAAAGCACUUGUGUUGAACUGCACAGAAAUGUUUGUAAAGCAAAAUUCCACCGUCUUCAAUGCUCUUUCCAUGAUGCCACACUAUGGUUUGCUUCUACAGUAGUAAAGUGACGGUAGUAAAGGUAUCUCCAGAUCUAAGGUUUUAGGAUUGGCUGUGUGUUUCUUCUUAUCUGGUUAUUUCUGC
rnacentral:lncRNA from 1 species